rnacentral:lncRNA from 1 species
AAACUCUUAGCAUGAAAAUACAACAAUUUAGUUAGUCCCUGACUUCUUGAGUCCCAGCUCACUUGAUUGGCCAAGAUGACAAUGUUUUGGUCAUCAGGCCAACCAAGGGUUGAUCUUUGUCUACAUUGCAAAGAAAACAUGAUACAUGGGUAACCGGUGCUUGUGAAGACAUUGCCCGUACAAUCUGUUUUUCCUAUGGAUCAUUCAGGACAGAAGGGCAUCUUCGGAAGGUGCUCGCAUGUUGUCUAUGGCAACAGCUUAAUCUUGGGUUCCCAAUGC